UUGGGUGUAGUAAAUACUAUUAUACCCCAUUUACAAUGGGGAGGAACCUGGGGUCACUCAAU
rnacentral:tRNA from 1 species